CCAGCAGGAACAUCGGAGAGGCAUCGCUGGACUUCGGUGCUCUCCUGGCUACAGUCUGCAGCCGCUGGGCGAAGGUGUUUGUGCUGGAUUUCCCUCCACGCCUGAACAUCGAGCCUGGCCUGCAGGAGCUGUUCCGCCAGGAGUUCCGCCGUGUCGCAGCACGCAUGGGUCUCCCGUACGUGUCUGUGGCAGAGCACCUCCC